rnacentral:rRNA from 1 species
AUGACGAUAGAUGCAUUCGCCAUAGUUCCAGCAUUACGGCAAACCCGUGUCAAAUAUAUAGCGGAUUUGGGAGAUCUAGCCAAAACGAAUCCUAUUUCGGCUAUGACCUUCACCAUUACAAUGUUCUCAUACGCAGGAAUACCCCCGUUAGCCGGCUUUUGUAGCAAAUUCUAUUUGUUCUUCGCCGCUUUGGGUUGUGGAGCUUACUUCCUAGCCCCAGUGGGAGUAGUGACUAGCGUUAUAGGUCUAUUUUAUUAUAUACGCUUAGCGAAAAGAAUGUUUUUUGAUAGACCUAGGACAUGGAUUCUAUAUGAACCAAUGGAUCGUGACAAGUCGUUACUACUAGCAAUGACUUCCUCUUUGAUUACUUCAUCCUUUCCAUAUCCCUCUCCCUUGUUCGUUCUUACUGAUCAAAUGGCACUCAGUUCAUAUCUGUAA